UACGAAGGGGGGCUAGCGUUGUUCGGAAUUACUGGGCGUAAAGCGCGCGCAGGCGGUCUUCCAAGUCAGUGGUGAAAGCCCGGAGCUCAACUCCGGAACUGCCAUUGAAACUGUUAGACUUGAGGAUGAGAGAGGUGAGUGGAAUUCCCAGUGUAGAGGUGAAAUUCGUAGAUAUUGGGAAGAACACCGGUGGCGAAGGCGGCUCACUGGCUCAUUACUGACGCUCAGGCGCGAUAGCGUGGGGAGCGAACAGG
rnacentral:rRNA from 1 species